AGCGAACGCUGGCGGCAGGCCUAACACAUGCAAGUCGAACGAACCUUUCGGGGUUAGUGGCGGACGGGUGAGUAACACGUGGGAACGUGCCUUUAGGUUCGGAAUAACUCAGGGAAACUUGUGCUAAUACCGAAUGUGCCCUUCGGGGGAAAGAUUUAUCGCCUUUAGAGCGGCCCGCGUCUGAUUAGCUAGUUGGUCGAGGUAAUGGCUCACCAAGGCGACGAUCAGUAGCUGGUCUGAGAGGAUGAUCAGCCACAUUGGGACUGAGACACGGCCCAAACUCCUACGGGAGGCAGCAGUGGGGAAUCUUGCGCAAUGGGCGAAAGCCUGACGCAGCCAUGCCGCGUGAAUGAUGAAGGUCUUAGGAUUGUAAAAUUCUUUCACCGGGAACGAUAAUGACGGUACCCGGAGAAGAAGCCCCGGCUAACUUCGUG
rnacentral:rRNA from 1 species